AACCCGUACAGCCCGUACACCGAUAUUUCACAGUUGGCAACACCUUUUUAUUUUGAUUUCGUGGUUGAUCCGAAUGAUCGUGGAAUUAUGAACAUCAGUGUAGGCCCUAAAGAAGAGGCAGGGAGUGAGCGUGAUGCAUAUUUGAAUGGGCUUGAGAUAAUGGAGAUUAUGGAGAAAUCGGGUACAGUUCCUGUGGAGAAUGGACAUAAGAAAAAGCAUGUCAUGGUAGUAGUUGGCUCAGUGCUUGGAGGUUUGCUUCUGAUUUGCAUAUUGGCAGUUGUACUGUUUUUUGUUUUGACAUACAGAAAGCAAAAGCCUGGUGAAUUUCCUUUGGCUUUGGAUUGGUCUCCAUUACAUGUACGUGGAGGAGGGAAUUCUCAUGGUAAGGUCCCUGAGGGAACUGGCGGCUCCCCAAUGCCUAAUGUAAACCUUGGAUUAAAAAUUCCUUUGGUAGAAAUUCAGUUUGCGACGCACAAUUUUGAUAGAAAGUUUGUGAUCGGCAAGGGAGGAUUUGGGAAUGUCUACAAAGGAACUCUCAGGAACGGCAUGAAAGUUGCUGUAAAACGAAGCGAACCAGGCUCCGGCCAAGGCCUUCCAGAAUUCCAAACUGAAAUAACAGUCUUAUCAAAAAUUCGCCACCGCCAUCUUGUUUCCUUAAUUGGAUAUUGUGAUGAACGGUAUGAGAUGAUACUAGUGUAUGAUUUCAUGGAAAAAGGGACUUUGAGGGAUCACCUAUACAAGUCAAAGUCACCCUGUUUGUCCUGGAUACAGAGGCUUGAAAUAUGCAUUGGUGCAGCAAGAGGUCUUCAUUAUCUACACGAAGGUUCAGCUGGCAGAAUCAUUCACCGUGAUGUGAAGCCCACAAACAUUUUGCUGGACAAAAAUCAUGUUGCCAAAGUUGCUGAUUUUGGCCUUUCAAGAUUGGGUACGCGUGAUGAAAACCACAUCAGCACAGCUGUUAAAGGAACGUUUGGUUAUCUUGAUCCUGAGUACUUCCGGUCACAACAAUUAACAGAAAAAUCUGAUGUUUACUCAAUUCGGUGUUGUUCUUUUCGAGGUUGUAUGUGCAAGACCAGCCAUCAAUGCCUCACUCCCAAGAGAGCAAGUGAACCUGGCUGAUUGGGCAAUGCUUUGCAAGAACAAAGGGCUUCUUGAGGAGAUCGUAGAUCCUUUGAUAAAGGUUCAGAUCAGUCCAAACUCAUUGAGGAAAUUUGCUGAGAUAGCUGAGAAAUGUUUGCGGGAAGAUGGUGAUGACAGACCAACAAUGGGCGAUGUGUUGUGGGACUUGGAGUAUGCAUUACAGCUUCAACAAACUGCAAGGACGAGAGAGCCACAUGAAGACAGUACAACCGAUGCUUCAUCUGCAUUACCAUUCCCUAAUGUCAGGCGUUUUCCUUCAUAUAGCGUGUCGAUGAACGAAGUUGAUAUGCACAUUUUGAGAGACCAGGACAAUUCAAUCUCAUCAGAAAGUAAAGUCUUCUCUCAGCUGGGAAUUGAAGAUGCCAGGUAAAGUUACCGAAUUUAGGUUUCUUUAGCCUCUGCAAUUUGUAUUUGGUAAAUAUAAUCUGGACAAGCUUGCUUUGCUUUCUCUGUUUAUUAAUUCUAAUCUAUUCUCUACGGUUUAAGGCAACUUAUAUUUUGUAUAAUUGGAAUAUAUUUCAAGACAACAACUAUGAUUUUAUUUUUAACUAUUAUAGAUGGCUAAAAAACUAUUAGGAAUUUAUUUAGGCCUUUUUUUAAUUUUGAGAUGUUAAGCAAAUAAAACUAUAAUUGUGAAAUUAAAAUUUUGACCAAAAACAUAAAGGUAUUAUAAACUUUUUCAUCAUAUAAUUGUAAUUGUAGUGUAAAAUUAACUUUCAAAUCAUUUUAAAAAGUUUUUUUUCCAAAUACAUUAGUUCUUAAGGGUGGACCCUUCACUUUUUAUCACGCCACACUAAUUCAUAAAUGUAAUUGAGUAAUAUUUGUGUGAAUGUCAGUCCGGUAAAGGAGUAAAAACAGCAUAUAUGUUAACCAAUGCAACAAAUUUGUUUUUUGUAAAAUACAUAUAUUUAAUAAAAAAUGACAAUAUUGCAACAAAUAAGCUUAUUAUAAUAUAAAUUAUUAAAACAAUGCAUUAAAAAUUCUUUAUAAAAUUCUUUUUUAUUUUAGUGAUAGAAAAUAUGAUAUAUGUUGUCAAUUGUUAAUAUAUAAUUUUGUAAUUUUUUAAUACUAGUGACACUAUUAUAAUAUAUUGACAUAGUUUUCUUAAUUUUUUUUAAUAAUAAGUUAAAGCAAUACUAACAUUACAAACAUUUUAAUCCGUAAUGAUUCUAUAUAAUUUAGUCAUUUCAUAAAGUAAGUUUCUAAAUCUAACUUUUGUGGUGUUCUUGGCCUCCUCAAACCAUAUACAUUGUUAUUUGGUUGUAUCACAUUUGACGUACCGUUAUAUAUCCCUUUUUUUGUCUUUUCCUGAUCCACCGUUAAGAUCUACCCCAAAAUUAGUUCAACGGCUAAGAUACUUUUGUUGGGUUAUUAACACUACAGUCCCUCAUGUUUGCUACAAAGUUUAAAAAGUUCAAACGUUCAAAAUUUUGAUACAUAAGUUAUUUUAAAUUUUUUACACUUAGGUGUAUUGACCGAGUUAAUUUCACCAAUAAAAUAACUCAUUCUUAUAUUUGAAAUAAUAUAUUCAAAUUAACACUCUUUCAUGUUAAAUAAUUAAUUUAACAUAUAGUAAAACCAUGUAUUAAUUAUGAAGCAUAUUUUAUGAUAAAUGUGAAUAUGAAUUUAAUCUCUUGUUCUUAAUUUGUAGCUAAUAUUUUCUUUUCAUAAUACUUAUUCAAUAUAUAGUCAAUAAUUUCAGUGUGUAGUAAAAAUAUAUUAAUUUAUCAAUUAAUAAUGUGUUUUUCAAUUGCUUAAUAAGACAGUACCAAAAGGUGACGCCAAAAAAAAAAAGCAAUUGCUCUUCAGUUAUUCUUAUAUCUAGAAGCUUGAUGAAUAAGUUUAGAAGUUUUCAAUAAGGAUUUGGUGGCAAAAGAAUUUUAUGAGUGGCACUUAUUUAGAUUUUUUUUUUUUUUACAUCUCGUGCUCGAUAACUUUGAGUUAGUGAUGGAAUUCAAUUAUUAAUUGCUAGAGAUAUGGAACUGAAACUAGUGGGCAUGUAAACAAUUUAAUCAUAUUUAUAUAUAAAUUUAAUUUAUUUAUUUAGUAAAAAAAAAAUUAAUUUUUAUCAAGGAUAUAUAUGACAUUUGGUAGAUGUACAGUGCAAAUUUUCUUUUCAAAACGUUGAUGAUUGGUGUGUGAAUUAGUAAUUAGAAAUACAGUCCAACCUUUUGAUUUAGUUCACAAAAUUAAAAUGAGUAGGCUAAUGAGUCGGAAUUUAGGACUAUCUAUGUUUUUAAUUUUAUAAUAAAAUAGGGAUUGCAGUGUAAUUAAUUAAAAAAAAUAGAGUAUGUUUUCACUGUAGUGGCAUACCUAGACCCUACAUAUAUUUAUAUUUACACUGCAGCCAGUGUCAAUAUAAAAUCAGCAUACAAUUCUUAACCUGUUUUUGGAUUCAGGUGAUAUUUAUGACUUUUUAAUUCACUAGUUGCUGUGAAAUAGAGAUUAAGUGGUAAAUGAUUCAUUGGGCCUUCUUCGUGUGCUAAUUUUUUGACUUUCUGUGGCGUAUAUGAAUUUUGGAAAAAUUUUAGAAUAUAUUUAUUGUACUAUGUCAUGAUAUUAUUUAUUGAUUUUAUGAGUUAUUGAUUUGUCACUCAUACAACAAAUAAAUAAUGUCAUACAACUAUCAUACAACUAUAUAAGUAGUGGUUGUAUAAAUUCAAUUAUACAUAUUAUACAUGUAUUAAAUAAUUAUAUACAAUAGAUGUAUUAUAAAAUUUCCCUGCAUCUUGAGUUGACUCUUAAUGGAACCGAUUAUCAAAUCAUUGACGACUUUUCCAAGUCCACGGGGUCCCGCAAGCAAGAAUUGAGGUUGACCCGACGACCAAGUGCAUUCAAUCAAUUACUAGAUAUUUAAUUAUUUAUCACUCACUGCGUUGAUGCAUGCACAAAAAAUAAUAUAAAAGUAAUGUAUUUAUCAGAAGAUAAAAAAAUUUAUUAUAAAAUAAAAAGUACUUUACUAUAAAAUAAAGCCACCCAUCAUAAAUGCUUGAAAGUGAUAGGAUAUAAAUUUUUUAAAGAAUUUUUUAAUAAUUAAAAACUCAUUAUCGAUUUGUAAUAAUUAGAAAUUUUUAAAAUUCAAUCUGAUCAACACAAUUCGUCUUAUUCGUAGAAAUACAAUGCACAAAAUUUUUAUUUAUAGAUUUUUUAAUUAGAUUGGAUUUAAAAUUGAAAAAUCCAGAGUUUGUGGAUUAGAUGUGGAUUUACUUUUAUAAAUUAUUAGAAAGCCAUGAAUCCAUAAAAUAUAUAUAUAUAUAUAUCAUUUAAUUAAAAAUAAAACUUGUAAAUAUAGAAUUAAUGCUUUCUAAGAAUUAACUAAAUUAAAAUAUAGAUACAUUAAUACUAAUAAUUAUAUCUUAUCCGAUAAUAAUAUAAAAUAAAAACAAUUAAAUGAACCAAUAUUAUUUCUCAAACAGUUAAUUUUUAUAAUUUUAAUUAAUUUUCAUUUAUCGAAACAAAUAAUAUUUUUUUUCUUUUCGGUGUGUUAUAUUUUGAAUGUAUUUUUUAGUUUUAUUUAAAAAAUUAAUUCAUUUAAUCUUAUUCAAUUUUGAAUUUGAUCGGUAAUAAAAUAAUUUUUAUAUUAAAUUUUUUUUAUUUAAUUAGUUUAUGAAUUAGAAAGAAUUAGUCCGUAAAUCAAUCUAUAAAAUAGUGGAUUUGAUAUGAAUUGAGUCAAGAGUUAAAUUUGCAUCUGAUCCGCAGACAUAUGGAUUAGAAUUAAAUUGAAUUUUACUAAUUUAUAGAUGAGAUUGGAUUGAAAAUUUAUAAUCCAUAAAAUCAUGAAUCGGAUAUAAAUUGAUGUUCAAUCUACAAAAUCUUAUUCGAAAACAACACUAGAAAUAAUCAUUUGAUCGAUCUCAACGGAUCGCUCUGCGAUCUUCAAUAUUUUUGUGGCCUCAUGGUGUGUUUGAUAUUAUUUGAUAUUUUCCGUAUUACAAAAAUGAAAAUCAAGAAAAUAUAUUUGGGCGGCCUGUAAAUUAGCGUUUUCCACUUCUAAAGCACCGCAGAGAAUAGUUUGAAGAAAAAUGGGGUUUGUCGGUUGGUUGUCUCCCAGCAAGGCCCACAAACAACCUUUUUCUACAUUCUUUUUAGCAAUUCUCUUGGUACAACAAUCCUUUAUUAGAAAAUUUUGAAAAUUUUUCUACUAUUUUUUUUUUUGAAAAGGAUAAACACACCCCCAACAUUUCCAACAUUUAGGUAAAGAGAUAAAAAUCUCUCUUAGAUUUCAAAAAAGAUAUUUACACCCCAAUUUAUUAUAGUUUUACCAUUAUACCAUUCUAGCAUAUAAAAAAAAUAAUUAAAUUAUCCAAUUUGUCUAUAUAUUAUUAAUAAAAUUAUAAAUAUACCCUCAUUGCAUCAUUCUUCUAUUUAAAUUUUUAUCAAUAAUCAAUUUUCAAAAAAGACACCUACACACUUAAAAAAAUUUGUAAAUAAAUUAUAAUUUUAAAAAUAAAAUUGGUUAUUAAUACCAUAAUAAAUAACAUAGAAAAUUAGUUAUAAAUAUACAAGUUUAAAUAAUUGACAUGUUAUUUAUUAUGGUAUUAAUAACCAAUUUUAUUUUUAAAAUUAUAAUUUAUUUACAAUUUUUUUAGGUGUAUAGAUUUUUUUUUAAAUUGGUUAUUGAUAAAAAUUUAAAUAGAGGAAUUGAGCAAUAAAGGUAUAUUUAUAAUUUUUUUUAUAAUAUCCAACUUGUUUAUUUAUAAUUUUAUUAACAAUAUAUAGAUAAAUUGGACAAUCUAAUAAAUUUUUUUAUAUGCUAGAAGGGUAUAAUGGUAAAAUUAUAAUAAAAUGGGGUGUAAAUGUCUUUUUUAAAACGUUAGGGGAUUUUUGUCCCUUUGCCUAAACGUUGGGGGUGUGUUUGUCCUUUUCCCUUUUUUUCCCCUCUCUAUCAAAUUUGUACGUAAGUAUCUUGUUUAAUUUUAUUUGUAAAUUGUUUGUUUUCACAAACCCAGUUCCAUGUGCAUGCGAUUUUUAGUUUGUACAUGUUAUUUCCUUUUUUUAGAUUGGUUUUUGAACAUUAUCAUAAAGCAUUAGUUAUAGAAAUUUUAAAUUUUUUUAUGGAAAUAACUAAAUGCUAUUCUUUUUAACACUUGCCCAGUUACUUUUUCUUAAAUUAACUCCAGUUUUUAUUAAAAAGAUUGAGGAAACAAAAAGAGAGAAAAAAAUCGCUGAUCCUCGUCUAUUCUUUUUUUUUUUUUAAUUUUUUUAUCGGUGAUCCUUCUAAAUCUUGCCUGCAUUAAUUAGUUUGAACCUUUGUAUCUUCGACUCUUUGUGCAGCAACAUGUUACGAAUCUUCCCUAUACUUUCAAAAUCCAUGUGCAUAAUCAGCACAUGAUGUUUGCGACUCUUCCCUGCUGGCCUAAAGUCGACCUUGGCAUUUUCCUAAACAUAUUCAUUUGAUCCUCGAUCUCAAUGGAUCAUUUGCAAUCUUCAUUAUGUUUGUCGAUCACUCUGGCAGCAGUGGGAAUCUUGGGCUUGAUUUUCUACUGUGUGAGGAGAAAACCCAGAAGCAAAGGUAAAAGUUUCUCAAUUAAUUGCACGAUUGUGAGAGUUGAAUAAAUGUACACAUCUUAACUAUAAUCCAGGAAACUAAUUUAAAAAGGAUAGAGAUUCCUAAUGUGCAUUAGAUCCUUCCAAAAAAAAAAAAACACAUCAGGCCCAUUUGAAAUGGUUAUGCUUCAAUAUUUUUCUUUUAUAGAAUGCAGUUAUGCAUCAACUUAAUUUUCAAAUCUCAUAGUUUAUAGAGCAUCACUUACUUACAAUAAAAAUAUGCUGGAAUCAAAAUGAACUUUAAUCGUAAUGAGCUGGAAUUAUAGUAGAGAAUAAAAAUUAAAAUAAGUUGAUUAUAUGACCUACAAAAAUAAUAAUCAGAAUUAAUAAUAUUCUCAUUAAUGUCUUUACUUUGUCUUAUAAUUAAAGUAGAUUAUUAAAAAGUUAUAAAAAUGCCAUUAGUUAAAAUUAUCUAUUUUUUAAUAACAAAAUAAAUAAAUAAACUUCUUAAAAGAAAGUCUAUGCAUGUUUAUUACAAUAAUAAUAAUAAUUCUGAUUUUAGUUCCUAGUAGAAUUAAAAAGUUUUAAGAGGUUAUAUAUUAUAAUUAUGCUCUGCCUACUCAUUACCAUUUUAGUAUUUUAAAUAGAAACAAUUUAAAAGUAGUCCUCUGUCUUUCAACCAGAGGAAACAAAAAAAAAAAAAAAGGAAAGAAAAAGAAAACAAGUACGCUUUUAUGGUCCAUUUGUAAUGGAAAUGCUUCAACCUUUUUUGACUUUUGAAACGCGGGUUCUAAAACAUUUCUUGCUUCAUUAAAAGAGUAGAACAAAUAAGAUGGACCCAAAUUCCCAAAACAGACAAUAAAAGGUGCUUACCAGAGUCCAGUAAGUGUCCAUAAUUUGUCAACAUACGAGUCAAAAACUGGUAAUGCAUGUAUAUAUAUAAUUUUUAGUGACCGUGCUAAUUUUAGCUAAAUAUUUCACCUUCGCGUGUAUCACGCGUAAACUCUAGUAACUGAGACCUGGGUAAGUUCUGAAGAAUAUACAAAUCCCAUGAAUAAUUCUGCUUGACACUGAUUGGGUAUAGUUAAAGUUUUUUUUUUAAUAUGUUUCACAAUUAUCUUACUGCCAAGUUUAUUCUUAAAAUUGUUCUUCUUCCUAUUAAACACUCAUUAUUGAUUUGGAAUAAUCAAUUGAUCGAUCUCAAUGGAUCGCUUUGCAGUCUUCAUUAGUUUUGUUGCCUCGGUAUCUGCUGUCUUCUUGAUGUUAGCAUUGACGUUUGGUUUAUCUAGUAAAUAUUUCUUUUAUAGUCCACUAGCAAUUUCUUUCUUAAUCUUGUCGAUCACUCUGGCAGCAGUGGCCAUUUUGGGCUUGAUUUUCUAUGGUGUGAGGAGAAAGCCCAGAAGCAGAGGUAAAAGUUUCUCAUUUAAUUGCACGAUUUUGAGAGUUGAAUAUACGUACACAUAGGUACGUAUCUUAAUUAAAGCUUUAAUUUCUUCACCAUUCAGGCGAGAAUUUGAUGAUGUUUGAUUUGGAUUUGAACCUGAAAGCCGAUCCCGCAAACAAUAAACGGACAAAAGGAAGCAAAAAGAAGGAAGUUGAUCAAUUGCCCUUAUUCAGUUUUUCCAGUGUUUCUACUGCAACAAAUAAAUUCUCCGACGCAAAUAGGCUCGGAGAGGGUGGUUUUGGACCUGUUUAUACGGUAAUAAAGACAUCAAUUCCUUUGGAGCAGUAAUUUCCUUGUUAACAGAAAUAUAAGUGUACCAUUUUCAGGGAGUGUUAAAAAACGGAGAUGAGAUAGCAGUGAAAAUGCUUUCAGGAAGGUCUGGACAAGGAUUGCGAGAGGUAAAAAAUGAAGCUUCAGUGAUAGCCAAGGUUCAGCACAAGAAUCUUGUUAGACUUUUGGGCUGCUGCAUUGAUAGAGAUGAGAAGAUUCCGAUCUAUGAAUACAUGCCAGUGAUAAGUUAAGUGCAUGACUAGCCAUCACCGAUAAGUUUAAGUUGUCUCAAUAAAAAUUAAGCAACCACCUUAUAUUUAAAAGAGCAUUUGAAAACUAAUAAAUUUACUAUUGAAUUACUUUUUAAUCAAAAUAAAUUAUAAAUUAUCAUUACAGCAACAUCCACAAACCCAAAUAUCUAAAAAAUAAUAAUUCUCAAAAAACAUAAAGCUAAAAAACUUUUGAAAAUUUCUUUAAAAAACUAAUAAAUAACUAACUUCCUUUUGUAAUAUUCCUUGUUUAUCUUUUUAUAACUUUGUUGGGCUACAUUUAGAAAUUUAAAAAAUUAAAUUGACUCCCUUGCAUUUCAAGGGUGAUAUUGGUAUUUUAUAGGUAAACUAACAUAUUUUAUGUAUAAGCAAACUAACAUGUCAAUUAAUACUAAAAACAUAAGGAUCUCCCUGUAACUUAGGGUUUGCCGAAACAUAAAUGUAGUGAAAAAGUAAAGUUUUAUAAUGAUAAAAUAAUAAAGUGUUACAACCUAAUGCUUCUUACAUAUUUUUUAUUUUGAAAUUUCAUCUUUUUUAAUUUUACAAUUUUCUGAAGUACUAAAAGGUUAAUAACCCAUAUUUUAUUUAUUUAUUCUAUAUUAAAUAUAUAUUAAAUAGAAAAAUAUUGUUUACAUUUAUAAAUUUUCGUGUGUUUAAAAAAGUUUAUGUGAUAUUACAUUGGUGUCCUUAUACCGUCACUCAUUUUUAUGAUUAAACUAAGUCAACAGAUCAAAUUUUAAAAAUUUAAAACAACAUGAGUUAUAUAAAUAAAUAUUUAAAAAAAAUUAGCCUUUAUUAUAAUGUAAUAAACUGUAGGGGCUGCAUUUUUAAUAACUAAUUGAAUAUAUCUAAGUCCUUCCAUAAUUAAGCUAUUAGAUCUAUUGAUUGAAUCAGAAAAGGGUAACGUUUGGGGUACCUUGCAGCUGUUGCAAGGUAGCUGGACCCUAUUUAUAAUACAGCGCUGCUAUUUACCCGAGUUAAACCCCGAAAAUCCCCAAAACGAUGUUGUUUUCGCUGUGAUCUGUUGCCUUUUAAUUUCCAAAUGAACCGUUUUGAUUCAACUCUCACGCGAGUUCUCCAGCCACAAUUGCCAUCACCCACAAAAUCUUCUCCAGCCACAAUUGCGAUCGCUCACAGACAACAGACCACAGCCAUCACGCGAGCCACAGACGACGGACCACAGCCAAUCAGCCAUCACGCGAGGUCUCCGUUGCCAUCACUGACAAUCACACGACAGCCGACACUCACAAAGCUAACACGAACGACACUCACAACGCUGGAAUUGUAUCACACACACAAAUCAACAACAACGCUGCUGGAAUUGUAUCAAUAAUUCCAGCAGCAACAAUUCCAGCAGCAAAAAAAGUAUCACACACACACAAACACAAAUCUCAAUCAACCAAAUUAUCACACACACACACAAAUCAGCAACAAUUCCAGCAGCAAAAAAAGUAUCACACACACACACAAACACAAAUCCCAAUAAGCUUUGUGAGUGUUGGUUGUCGUGUGACUGUCGGUGAUGGCAACGGCGACCUCGAUCGCGUGAUGGCUGUGGUUGGUCCUCUUUGGCUCCCGUGAUGGCUAUGAGAACUUGAGGAAUGCUUCAUGAAAACGGUUCGUUUUGGAGCUUCAUUCAGGGUGUUUUCAAUUUAGCUAAGUCUUUCCAAACGAAAGGAAAAAAAUUUCCAAACGGUGAGUUUUCUAUUUAAGUAAAACGGUGAGUUUCAUUCGGGGUGCAAGUUGGGGUAAAUAACUUUUUCCUUUAUAAUAUGGUUGGAAUGGAAAGAAAUUAAAACUAGGUGCCACGCAGUGAAACCAUUCGGACUCAGCAUUGAAACAUUUUCAGGUGGUUUAGCUUCUAGAAUAUCGAAUAGGCCUGGGCUUUACAUCGUCGGCCCAGAUGGGGAAUCAGGAAGCCAUUAGGCUUUUAAGGCCUACGUUCCUCUGGAUUAUUACUGGCUCCUAGCUUCUUACUGGGUCAAAAUGUCUGUGCGGGCUAGUUUCAUAGCCAUUUAAAAGCAAAACACGACCCCCAACCACCAGGUCAACGUUUCCGGACUUGGAGAAUUUUCAUCUCCUUCAGCUUGUUAUAUGAAAAAUAUUAAAAUCUGAAAGAGACACGACAUAAACAAAUAAAUAAAAGAAAUUUUGCUAACAAAUAUCCACAUCCUCCUCUUGAUUUCCGUGAUCAGAUAGUGUCAAUCACUAGUGCUGAGGAGACUUUUCAUUCUGCCUGAUAUGUUACAACUUGACUUCCUUUCUUCUUGUAAACAGAAGCUUCAAGUCAACCAAAGCCUUUCAUAGAGUUCAAAAAUCGUCUUUUGCUUUCGUUGAUGCCACGAAAGUCUCUUUCACCCUUGUUAAAAUAAUCUCGCCUCACUGUGCAGUAUCAGUUUAACCUGUAUAUGAUAUUUUCCAAGUACCAGGUUUUCGAAGCCUUCACAGGAUCAGCAUUCGAGGCCUUCAGGAAUCGGAUAUAGGAUGAAAAAUAUAUAGCAUGCCAAUAUGCCAUGGAUUCAGCAUAUAGACAAAGUCUGCUGCCUUAACCCAUUAGUAGACUGCAAGGAGUGCCAUUAUUGUAGAAUUCCUACCAUUGUGGGGCCUUCUGCUUCACCCACCAAAUGCAAGAGGACAUACAAUUCGUUUAGCCAGUUUCUGAAUUUUCCACGGGUCCACAUUUAUUUUGGCUUAUAUAAUUGGCCUGUAUAUAGUCAGCUAAGUCAAAAUCAAGGGGCAAGAGCAUCUUCUAAUGGUGGGCACCAAUUUCUCUCGUGUCAUAUUUUUUGUUUUCCUUCAUAAAAUUAUGUGAUAACUAUAUUUUCUUUCCCGGAUUUUCAUGUUUGAUUUUUCAACUAUGUUGACUCGAGUCUUCUCUGCCAAAAUGGAUAUCAUAUAAGCAUCUUUCAACCACAAAGUCUUCAAAGUUCACAGAGAUUAGCUUUCCUCCACCUGAAUUCAUGGCAAAGAUUCAAACCAAGAAAGUCCUCAAAUCUUCAUCCCCUCUCAUUUUUCUCCUCCAUCUCUUGUCAGUUGGACUUACUUGUGCAGCAUAUAGUCUUCCAGACAAGUAUUUCAUCAACUGUGGUUCAGACACCGACAUGAAUUCUGGCAAUCGGAUAUUCAGAGGGGACCUGAAUUCAGAUUCCAUCUCUUUUUCAAAGCAGAGCCAUCCUGUUAAAAACGGCAGCCAGUUACCAGAUACAUUAGCUCUCUAUCAAACAGCAAGAGUUUUCAAUCAAUUAUCUUACUACGAAUUCGAUAUCAGAAGUGACGGCACUCAUCUAGUACGCCUUCAUUUCUUUGCUUUCUCCUUUGCGAUCAAUCUCUAUAGAGCUGUUUUCAACGUUUCCACUUCCCAUCCCUUUGUGCUGUUGCAUAAUUUUAAUGUCCAAAAGAGUAGCCAGUCUCCGGUAAUAAAGGACUUCUUUCUUAGCAUCAAUCAAGGCAAAUUCUGUGUCUACUUUAGGCCCCAAGAAUCAUCUUUCGCGUUUGUUAGUGCCAUUGAAGUCUUCCCUGUAGACCCUUUACCUCUAAGUUUCAUUCCUGAUGAGGCUUCACAUGUUGGUCCUAUAGGAAUUAAGACUAAUGAUUACCGGGGAAUUCACUCAAAGGCUCUACAGACAAUUUUUAGGAUCAAUGUUGGUGGCCAUAUGAUUUCGCAAGAGAAUGACACUCUAGGGAGGAACUGGAUUCCUGAUGAUAGUUAUCUCUACAAUCCAGAUACAGCAAAACCUUUUGAGUCUACAGCUAAUCUUAACUAUGGCUAUCGGGGAAUAGUUAGUGAAUACACUGCUCCGGAUUCUGUUUACCAGACUGCAAAGCAGAUGAAUAUAACUAACAGUAGGCUUUCUAAUAACUUCAACAUAACAUGGUGUUUUAACGUGAGUAAGAAUGCUAGGCACUUUGUUCGGGUUCAUUUCUGUGACAUUGUUAGCCCAUCUCCGAAUGUUUUCAAAUUUUUUCUCUAUAUCGAUGGCACCUAUUCGCAAGAAAUCAACCCGUACACAGCAGAUAUUUACCAGACUGCAACACCUUUUUAUUUUGAUUUCGAGGUUGAUUCGAAUGAUCGUGGAAUUAUGAACAUCAGUGUAGGCCCUAAAGCAGAAGCAGGGAGUAAGCCUGAUGCAUAUUUGAAUGGGCUUGAGAUAAUGGAGAUUAUGGAGAAAUCGGGUACAGUUCCUGUGGUGAAUGGACAUAAGAACAAGCAUGUCAUGGUUGUAGUUGGCUCAGUGCUUGGAGGUUUGCUUCUGAUUUGCAUAUUGGCAGUUGUAUUGUUUUUUGUUUUGAGAUACAGAAAGCAAAAGCCUGAUGAAUUUCCUUUGGCUUUGGAGUUGUCUCCAUUACAUGUGUGUAAAGGAGGGAGUUCUCAUGGUAAGGUGCCUGAGGGAACUGGCGGCUCCCCAAUGCCUAAUGUAGACCUUGGAUUAAAAAUUCCUUUUGUAGAAAUUCAGUUUGCGACGCACAAUUUUGAUAGAAAGUUAGUGAUCGGCAAGGGAGG
rnacentral:lncRNA from 1 species